ACUCCGGGGAUAACAGGCUGAUACCGCCCAAGAGUUCAUAUCGACGGCGGUGUUUGGCACCUCGAUGUCGGCUCAUCACAUCCUGGGGCUGAAGUAGGUCCCAAGGGUAUGGCUGUUCGCCAUUUAAAGUGGUACGCGAGCUGGGUUUAGAACGUCGUGAGACAGUUCGGUCCCUAUCUGCCGUGGGCGCUGGAGAACUGAGGGGGGCUGCUCCUAGUACGAGAGGACCGGAGUGGACGCAUCACUGGUGUUCGGGUUGUCAUGCCAAUGGCACUGCCCGGUAGCUAAAUGCGGAAGAGAUAAGUGCUGAAAGCAUCUAAGCACGAAACUUGCCCCGAGAUGAGUUCUCCCUGAGACUUAGAGUCUCCUGAAGGAACGUUGAAGACGACGACGUUGAUAGGCCGGGUGUGUAAGCGCAGCGAUGCGUUGAGCUAACCGGUACUAAUGAACCGUGAGGCUUAACCUU
rnacentral:rRNA from 1 species